rnacentral:lncRNA from 10 species
CGGCGGGCCACUGCGCGGGAACGGGUUACGCGGCUGACGUCCGCCGCAGCAGCCGCUGGGUCCUGGAGGCAGAAGCCUCCCUGAGAAGCGCACAAUAGGCAGGGCGCGGUGGCUCACGCCUGUAAUCCCAGCACUUUGGGAGGCUCAGGCGGGCGGAUCACAAGCCUGCACUAGGUGACGCUGAAGCCACAGAAGACACUGCAGUGGGAAAACCAGCAUGAGCCGCUGCCCCCAAGGAACCUCGAAGCCCAGGCAGAGGACCAGCCAUCCCAGCCCGCAGGGUCUCCUGAGAACACAGACCAGAAUUACUGAGGUAAUCUUGGCACAUUUUCUUAACCAUUUUAUGUGACUUUCAAAUUCCUUAUAUGUAGCUGGGAAAAAAGGCUUUGCUAGAUGAUCUUUUUCAACCUUUGUGAAGAUAAAGAUUAAGAAAAAAGUUUAAACCUGAGGCAAGGAAAAUACAGAAGAAAACCUAAACAAAGUUUCGGUUCUCAGCCCCUGAGCAGCCACUCAGUGGUGGGCGUUUCCUUCACUCCCCAGUGAGCACCUACUGUGUGUUCCGUAUGGCGCAGGGCAGGGAGGAGCAGGCCAAGAAACAAACAAGCCUUGGGGUCGGGGCCACAGAGGGCACGGUGAGCUCUCAGGACAGGGCGGGAAGGGAAGGCAGAAAGGUCCUGGGCACAGGCUGGGCUGUCAGCUCCAGAGGGGUGCACUGACCCUGCAUCCAUGGUAAGUGUGGGGCACAGGCAGUCUGGGCUGCAGCCUCAGAGUGGAGCAGAGCCCGGGGUGUAAGAGGCCGGCUGGGGCAAGUGGGCACCAGGAGAGCCCAGGCUGGCCAUUAUAUGUGGCUGCAUUUCCAUUUCCAAAAAUGUAUGAUUUUUUCAGUUAACGGAGAAAAAGCACUGACAAAAUUCAACACGCUUUCAUGAUUAAAAACAUUCAGCAAACUAAGAAUAGAGAAAACUACCUCAACAUAAUAAAAUUCAUAUAUGAAAAAGCCACAACACACUCAAUGGUGAAAACUGAAAGCUUUUCCUCUAAAAUUAGGAACAAGACAAGGAUGUCUGCAUUCAUUACUUCUAUGCAACACAGUGCUAGAAGUUCUAACCGGCACACUUAGGCAAGAAAAGGAAAUAAAAGGCAUCAAAA